rnacentral:rRNA from 1 species
GACGAACCGAGCGAACGUUAUUCGGAAUCACUGGGCUUAAAGGGCGCGUAGGUGGGCCGUCAAGUCCGGGGUGAAAGCCUCCAGCUCAACUGGAGAAGUGCCUCGGAUACUGGCGGCCUCGAGGGAGAUAGGGGCGUGCGGAACUUCCGGUGGAGCGGUGAAAUGCGUAGAUAUCGGAAGGAACACCGGUGGCGAAAGCGGUGCGCUGGAUCUCUUCUGACGCUGAGGCGCGAAAGCCAGGGGAGCGAACGGG